AAAUAAUUUUCAUUUUCAUUAUAGACAGGACCCAAUGCGAAACCAAAACUUUUACAACAUGGAGCCUUCACUCAAGCUGUACCAAUCAAGGAGAAGAAAUUCCACAGGCAUGUGAGUGAUUCCAUUGCGAACAACUACAGUCCUGCAGCCAGAGACUUCUCGACUCAUUCAGUGUACAAGCAUCAAAGCAACAAUGAGUAUUCUGAGUUAUGCAAACCUGAGAAUCAAGUGGAAUUAUUAUGCCAGAAACCUCCUUAUCAGGAUCUCCGAAUUUCCAAGAAAAGGGAUUCAUGUUAUACAUUGUAUAAGAGAAAGUAAGUACUAUUAAGUUGUCAGUAUUUUUUUAAGAUACUCUUAAAAUUCAAUGUUGAUGUCAUCAACAGUAUUCCUAUGCUCAGUUUAUGAAACUGAAAUAAUAUUGUAAAUGAUACCAACAGAGCAGGGAUAGGAGGUGCUUACAUGAUGUGGGUCAGAUUGGAAGGUGGCACUCAGAAGUGAUAUUUUGCUGAGAUGAGUUACAACAAAUUUUCUAGUAAUAUUUCUAGAGAUGUCCAUAUUGAUUUAAGACGGUACAUACGUGUUUAUUGUAAAUAACGUUUUUCCAAUUUAGUUUGUACUGGAAUGGUACAAAAUAGAACAAUAAAAUCGUAUGUAAAGACUGCAAAAUUACUGUAUGCUGAAGCAUGAGGUUUUGUAGGGAAAUUCCUCACUGAUAUCUUAA